rnacentral:lncRNA from 1 species
CCAUUGUAUAGCAUUCACUCCAUUCUUUAGGGCAAGAACUAGGGCGGCACAAAAGCAAGAAGUGAAAGAGAAAAAUCAACCAAAAGUGGAGAGAUUUUGGGAAAGUCUUGACCAAGCCAUUGCCAUGAAUCCAACCAAAAGACGAGUUUUAUCAUUAGUCUUUUAUUUUAUACUUUAUUUUCUCUAAUUUGUAAUGUAUUUCUCUAACUAUUCUCGUUUUAUCAUUUAGAUAAAAUGAGCAAAAUUCUUAAUAUUGGGAUGAUUGAUGUAGCUUAACCUACUUUACUAUUUCAA